UACAGAGGUCUCAAGCGUUGUUCGGAUUCAUUGGGCGUAAAGGGUGCGUAGGCGGCGCGGUAAGUCGGGUGUGAAAUCUUGGAGCUUAACUCCGAAACUGCAUUCGAUACUGCCUGUGCUUGAGGACUGGAGAGGAGACUGGUAAUUACGGUGUAGCGGUGAAAUGCGUAGAUAUCGUAAGGAAGACCAGUGGCGAAGGCGGGUCUCUGGACAGUUCCUGACGCUGAGGCACGAAGGCCAGGGGAGCAAACGGG
rnacentral:rRNA from 1 species